rnacentral:rRNA from 1 species
AUGAAGGUCCCUGACAAGUUCUUACAUUUCAAGAACAGAAGCUUCGAUGAGUGUGCCGCCGAGUGCAGCAGCAACUGCUCAUGUACGGCGUAUGCUUACGCCAAUUUGAGUAGUGGUGGUGCUAACGAUGACCCGACAAGGUGCUUGGUUUGUACAGGGGAGCUUAUCGACACAGGAAAGUCAACUGACUCUGGCGAGAACAUGUACCUUCGCCUUGCUGAGUCUCCUGGUAUGCACUGUCCCAUUGCCUUGUGA